rnacentral:rRNA from 1 species
UAAUGUGAAUUGCAGAAUUCAGUGAAUCAUCGAAUCUUUGAACGCACAUUGCGCCCCUUGGUAUUCCGAGGGGCAUGCCUGUUCGAGCGUCAUA